GCCCUGAGAGAGUCAUACAUUGUCGACGAUGAAACAACUCCAAUCCCCAUCAAAAUCCGGCCAAGCAACCAUCUCCAUUCCCUUAACCUAAUCCACCACUAUUUCUUCCCAAAUCCUCACAUAACCAGGUCUGAAUCAAAUCUGAAAAUGAAGAAGGAGACAAUCCGACAAAGCUGUCAUGUUUUCAAUGAACGGUGAGGCUCGAGACUAGUAUUGUUCAUUUGUUCUCAAAAGAACACACGUGUAAUACCAAUUUCGGGUGAAAUCGAAGUUGCCUGAGGUUGCCUGAGUUCCGUCCAUGCGAUUGCCUAGAUAUAUCUGCUGUUACCCCUUUCGUCUCCAUCUUCUUUUUAUUCGUAUACUCGUACCCUGCUGCUUCUCCUCUUUCUGUCCAUUUUUCUAUUUACCCGUCCCUCUCACUUUCUGCUAAUUCUUCUUUACUUUAAUCUGAGUUUGGAUGGUUUAAAAUUAUUAAAACACUAGGUAUGGAUUCUUUAGUAAGCUUUACAAUUUUUCUUGUAAAAGUCCUCAGGAAUUCUGUGGUAGCUUGUGCAUAUUGUUUGUUUUAAUUCUGGUUUGUUUUCCCAAUCAUGUAUGUGGCUCUGGUUAAUUCGAAUUGAAGACUGUUUUUUUAAUUUAAAAUAAGAGUUUAGUUUAGAGAGAAAACAUUCAGGGGUUAUUGUUCCCCUAAGUUCCGCUUGGAUUUUUGAUAUGGUUUGGGCCUUGAGACCAUUCUUGACACCUCAAAGAGCCUGAUUAAGUGUUGGGUCAGCUUGACCCAUUUCUACACUAGUUUAGUUGGGAGAGUAAUUCUCAUAGCUUGAAGGGUAAAUUUGGGAUUGUAUGUGGGGAAUCUGUAUGUAACACAACAGGAAGCUUCUAGGAAGCUGGGGAGGGGGUUGUUUUGAAAUUCUGAAAAUUAAAUUAAGUGUAUCCAAACUAAAAUGAAAACAUAAAAAGGGGCAAAGUACAAAACUGAUAGAGGAAGCUACCCUGAAUGCCUUGUCUAUAAAGGUUCUCUAAGUUGAUAUGCAAGACAGAUGUAGAGAUUGAGAGAGCUAAAAAGAUAUUAGAAAAUCGAGCCGUCUAGAAAAAAGGGUAUACUGUUCCAAUGAAAAAAUCUCUCAAAUUCUUCUGAUCCUCAUUCUAAUAGAAUUCUCUAACAGCUAAGGGUUAAAAUGAGUUGAGUUUUGGUUUUUAUACAAGGGCUUGGGUUCAGAUUUUAGUCGUAUUCUGAUUUUGAACUUUGGUUGUUGCUGUUGUGGAUUUUAAUUUGGUUCAAAGUGUUUUUUUUCUUGAGCAUUUCUGGGGUUGAUAUUGUAGCUGAAACACUACUUCCGCUACUGCUCAAUUGCUGAUCAUCUCUUCUGUCUUGUUUUUUUAAAUUCUAGGUAUUUCUUGGCCCAUAUGAGUGCUGAAGUGUGAAAUGAUUUGGUGUAUUUGUGAUGAAGAUUUCACUUUCAUUUGUUCUGCUUCAGUUUUGUAAUUUGGUAAAAAGGUGAAAUAGAUCAUGGGUAAUAGCCCUUUUGAAGUCUGACUUGUUUAAUCUCAUGAACUGUUCAGUGUUUGAAUUAUUAAUGGAUUUCAGUAGCCUCUUUCAUAUGUAGGACUGUUGAACUCCUCUAUCCUAUUUGGUAGUUGUUAGUUUCAGUAGCAUAGCUUAAUUUGCAAUACAUGUUAGCUGAAGGUAGGAUUUGAUUCGAGAUUUAUCAGGUUCUAUCACUAAUUCAGUGUGAGUGAACUUGAUAUUUUAUCUAGUAGUGUGGCCAAGGUGUAAUAAUCAAAAUGCUAUUGUUCAUAAAGCAUGGAGCUCAUCAAGAGCUUAGGUUACAAUAGUAGUGAUUCCUUUCAGGUGCUUCCAUUGUUUUCUAUCAUGCUUUAAAUGUUAGUUUUUUUCUUUAGAUUUGGAAUAUUGUGAGAGCAUGAGAAGUGAUUAUAGGAUUAAUAUGUUUAUUGGCAUAAGCAUAUAUUCUGUGGCUAAUAGAUGUUUAAAAUGGCUCCUAGUUAACUCGGGAUCCAUGCAUUAGUGUUUAGUUUCCAUAAUUUUAGUUUCGUGGUCAUUUGAUUCAAAUUGAGUAAUCCGUGAAUUUGAAAUCAGUUGCUAAUGCAUCUUUCAUUAGAUCAAGUAUUUCUUUUAUGCAAUUGCUUGAACGUGGCUCCUAGACCUCUUUCUUUUUGGGUUUGCUCCAUUGGCAUUGGGCUUCCUUUGAGCCCAAGUCAAUUCUGGCUUGCCAUGGUCGUCUUCAGCUGUUUUAGAGGCUUCAUCUUGGGCCCAGGACUGAGAUGGUAACUGAUCUGCCAAUACUUAACUAUAGUAGGCUUUGGACUUUUCUGAAAAUAGACAUUAGGAUUUCAAUAAGGCAUUUUAGAUUACUGCUAGGUGUUUCAUUUCUUUAAUCAGGUUAAAAUAAAUUGAGGUGCACUGCACCAAAUAAUAUUACAAAUUGCGUGGCAUUCUUUAAUUAUUUCUUUAAAAUACUUAGAACUUGAGGCGUGCCAUUUAAGAAAUUUAUAUGGCCCUCACAAAGUUAACAACGUGUUAGAUGCUUUUAGGCGCGUUAUUUAAUAAUUUUACCUUCUUAAACUCGGGUGUAUAUUUCAUGUGACCCAAAUCCAAAUCCCAAAAUAUUGAAUAAGAUGUGUUCUAGAUUGCGGGUGCAUUUCAUAUGACGCGAUGCAAAGACAUGUUUUAAACGACGUUUAAUAUUUUUUUAAAAUUGAAUAAAAGCGGUUAAAAGUCAAAAUUUGCACAUAGGUUCAAAAUGUAUUAAAAUUAGAUAAUUAAGUCGAAUAUAAUAGUUGAGCGAUCGUGUUAGAACCAUGGAACUAGGGAAUCCCUCACCCUUCUUGGGGGNNNNNNNNNNNNNNNNNNNNNNNNNNNNNNNNNNNNNNNNNNNNNNNNNNNNNNNNNNNNNNNNNNNNNNNNNNNNNNNNNNNNNNNNNNNNNNNNNNNNNNNNNNNNNNNNNNNNNNNNNNNNNNNNNNNNNNNNNNNNNNNNNNNNNNNNNNNNNNNNNNNNNNNNNNNNNNNNNNNNNNNNNNNNNNNNNNNNNNNNNNNNNNNNNNNNNNNNNNNNNNNNNNNNNNNNNNNNNNNNNNNNNNNNNNNNNNNNNNNNNNNGGGGGGGGGGGGGAGGGUAGGUAAAAAGGAGGGGUAGGUAAAAAGGAGGUGUGACAGUUCUUGCGACUCUGCUGGGGAAAAGAACCAAGAACUUUGGUUCAGGGUUCAAAAUUCGAGCUCAGUUAAAUUGUUAUAUUUUGCUUUAUCUUAUUUUGUUAUAUGGUUGGGCCUAAUUUGCUAUUUGUUUCUUUUACCGCUUUGAUAUUCUGUAAAUUAUAUAUAAAUUGUUACGAAACUCAUCUUCUCUCUGAGUCUUCUAAAUCAUGAAGAAGAGUGCACUUCGUGUGACUUCUUUUCUGUUUAGAGUCAAUCCCAUUUUUAGAAUGAGGUUCGGAUAAGUUGCAAAGCCGGGUUGAGCUUCUGUAUCUCCGGUACGCUUCUCUCCCUCGGCUCCAAUCUCAUUUAGAACGAGGUUCGGAUAAGUUGCUAAGCUGGUGAAGCUUCUGUAUUCCCGGUACGCUGCGUCCCCCUCGGCUCGAGCUGUCUGCUCGAGUAAUCAGGUCUAAUACAACGAACCCAGGUUUUGAACCUAGAAUAACUCAGCCUCCUGCCGGAUCCCUAGUAGCAACUUUUGUUUGCAUCAUGUGCAUUUGACUUUGGAUACUCAACACAGGGGUUGGGUCUGUCUAGGACAGGUGUACCCGAAAUAAAGAGAACAUCCUGAUACAUCCUACUUGCUGCUUGUGCAUUCAUUUGCUUUGGAUUUGCAUAUUGACCGGCUUAUAGGGGUAAAUUGAGAGAAGGAAACUCAACGUGAGGGCUAAGAGAGAUAACUGCUUGUUUUUUGGAAAACCGAUGUCCAAAAUAUACUGAAACUCUGCCGAAAUUUUGAAAAAAAAAAAGAGAAAAUUUUGUUUUAUUUUAAAAGAAGACCAUCCUAAUGCAUCUUACUUGCUACUUGUGGAUUUAUUUGCUUCGGACUUGUAUGCGGGGCUUCUAAAUAUUGGAAAAAGUUGAGAGAAUAGAUAUAGCAGUGUAUGAGUCAAGUGAGUUAACCACAUGUCUCGAAAAAUCAAUGUUCAAAUAGUGCUGAAACUUUGCCGAAUUUUUGAGAAAAAUGAAAUGAAAAAAAAAAAGGAGUCUUAUUUUCAGAAAAUAGUUUAUUUUAUUUGCUCGAACUACGCAUACCUGAUUCUCGUCUUUCGGGGGGUGAUACGUAGCGAAACCACAUAGGGUCCGGUCUUCCCAGUAAAUUUUAGGUUCUUGGCUUCAUAGGGUCUUAGCCAAAUUUUACACUUUUAGCCGCAUAGAUUAAUUUUUGAAAAAUAAUCACACCCACGUCUUGCCUGUGUCAAUAGGGAAUGUUAUUAUCUCACAUGUUGUUGGUUUAAGUUUUAUCAUACAGGUUUGGAGUUAUUUACCAGAGUUUGAGCAUGACAGACACCCCGUGACCAUCAAGUCUGGAUCGCUCAGUCAGGAGUUGCUUAAGGAGAUUUGUUUUAUUUUUAUGUUUUGAGUUUGUUCUUCAUUUUAUGUGAUCUUUUUCUUUCUAAUUUUUGCAAUAAUGUUAAGUCUUUUGUUAUUGUAUUUUUGGCUUUAUAUUUAAAAAAUGUGCCGUAACUCAAGAAUCCAAAAAAAAAAAAGAUGUUGCAUUUUAUAUUUCCGUUAUAAAUUUUCUUUAGAUUACUAAAAAUGGAAAAAGGAAAAAAUUUUGAGGUUUUUUUUUAUUUAAGCAAUUAAUAUCUAGGACUUAAAAUAAAUUAUUUUUAUGUAUCCUUUAAGUAUAUUAGGGCCAAAAUUCAGAAAAAAGAGAAUUUUCUUUUAAUACUUCUUUAAAAGCUUUCUUUAAGCUGUUAAUUCAAAAUCCAAAAAGAUUUUAUUUUGAGGUGUGUCUUUGGGAAAUUAGUGAAAAUAAAAUUUUUCUUUUUAGAACUUUAGGAUAUGGUACAUAGAAGAAAAAAAGACAAUAUACUUUAUCUUUGGUUUAUUUUCAGAGUUUUUAUUUUAGGCAAUCAAAAUUGAAGUCCAAAAAUAUUCUUUAUUUCUUGUUUCAAAGUCUUGCGUUAGGAUAUCAAAUGAAAAUUCAAAAUAUAUUUCUGUGAUUUAUUCUUUAGAUUUUCUUCUAAAAAAAAGAAUCAAAAAAUAUUUUUCUCUUCUAGGAGUUUUCUUAAUAGAGUAUUUGUUUUAAAAGAAAAAAAGAGGAAAAAAACAUUCUCGUUAAGCUUGAGUUUAGAAUAGGUCAUAGAACAUUAAGUCUAGAAAAUUCAAAAAAAGAAAAAGAUUUGCUUCAUUUAUUUCUCUUUUCAAAUUAGAGUAGUCAUUAAAGUAAAAAAAAGAAAAAAAGGAAAAAAGAGAACGUUAGUUUGUUUGCUUUACUCUCGAUCUUCCAAAACUACGCGAAGAUCUGAUUCAUGCGGUAUCAUGAUACGUAUGCAGCCUACAUAGGGUUCGAUCUUAUCAUUUUUUUUAAAAAAAAGGAAAGGAAAAAGGUAAAAAGAAAAAGAAAAAGAGAGAGAAAAAAAGAAGAUGUAAAAUCACGGGAUGUGAGAAAUGAGAAGAAAGAAAAAAGUGAUAAUUAGAAGGGAAAAGAGGAAGGAAAAUGGGCAAGCAAGUUCUAGAAAUAGAAAAGAGAGGUUGAAAUGAACAAUUCGGGAUGAUGCAAACUGACAUUUGUACCCUCAAAGACAUUUUAUAACCGAUAUUUGUGGCUAGGUGCAUUGCAUAUAAAGUGAGUCUAUCUUAUGUUAAAUGCCCGAACGCUAUCCUGAUGGCUUCAUUUUGUUAUAUUCAUAGAAGAAGGGUGGUCGGUUUGUGAUUUUUUAAAAGUGGUAACUCUUCUCUACAACACAAAGUCAAAAGACAAUGACAGACAACAACAAAGCUGAGUGGGUUGAUACUUGUGCCCAAAAAUAGUUGGUUGAAUAGGACAAUGGGUUGGUUGAAGAGGUAAAGAUGUUGAGACAAUAUGGCGGACAUGUAUCAGGCAUCGAUGACUAGGAAGGCACCACUCUCGCCACCACUUAGCUUCCUAGAUGCCGCCCUUACCCAAUCUCUAGACACAAUGCCAGAUGAUCCUCCAUACUCUCUAGAUCCACCUGCUUAUCUCCAAGCUCAUGAUGCCCAAUAUUACCCCUCAGAGGUUUCCCACAAGGUUCCCUACUCAUACAAACAGGGCCUGCGGGAUGAGCAUCAUGUUGAAAAUGAAAAGUUCACAAGAAGAGAAGGGCGAGAUGGGAUACCCAAGAGGCUGAAAGAUGUAGAAUCGUCCUUAAGGAAAAAGCAACGAAUGAGAGACCAGGGUAGCAUGGCUUACAAAGAACUAUUUGUGGCCUCCGACUUUUGCCUACCUACAGGGUUUAAAGUGCCAAAAUUUAACUUUUAUGAUGGGUGUAUAGAUUUGGUAACCCACUUGAAGGUUUAUUGCAGGGAAAUGAGAAGUGUUAGAGAGAAAGAUGACUUGAUGAUGGCAUAUUUCAGUAAGAGCCUAACUACGACAGCUUUGGACUGGCAUACUCGUCAAGAUGUAGGUAAGUUGCCUACAUUGGGUGACAUGGCUCAAGAUUUUGUUCGAUUCAUUCAAUACAAAUCAGGCAUUACCCCAGACCGCUCUUCUCUAUCUAAAAUGGAAAAGAAGCCGGAGGAAAGCUUUAGGGAGUUUGGGCUCAGACGGAGGGAGCAAGCUGCUCGAGUCAGUACCGCGAUUGGGGGAAAGGAAAUGGUUGAGCUUUCCCUACAAGCCCAAGGUCCCACCUACUACAGCCAUUUGAUCCUGGCUUUGGGUGAGCCUUUCAAUGAUACGUGUUACACCUCCUUUUUCACACACCCGCAAGGGCAUAAAGGAGUUUUUUCACUUAGAGAACAAUCGAAACGAGAUUUAUUAUUAAUUAUUUAGAGUCGCUACUUGGGAGAUAAAUGGUAUUUCAAGUCACCAGUUGAAUCCCUAACGGAGGAAAAUUAAGACUCUGUUAACAGUCCGCGAACCAGAAAUACAAAUAAGGAAUUUUGUUAACCCGGGAGAAGGUGUUAGGCAUUUUUGGGUUCCGUGGUUCUAGCACAGUCGCUCAACUGUCGCAUUUAGUUUAUUUAUCUGAUUUUAUUUCAUGAAGAACCUAUGUGCCAAUUUUUCUUUUAUCCUGUUUUAUUCAAUAUGUAUAUUUAAAGAAAAUUGAACGUCGUUUAAAGCGUGCCUUUGGAUCGCGUCACAUGAAAUGCACCCGCAAUCCUAAGCAUACUCUAGUCAAUAUUUUGGGAUUUGAUUUGAGUCGCAUGAAAUACACACCCGAGUUUUGGAAUGUAACUUUAUUAGAAUCGUGUCUAAAGAGACUAACACGUUAUUAUCUUUUGGGAAGGUAAAGAAAUUCGCUAAACGGCCCAUCCCGGAUGCUAAGUAUUUUAGCUUUUACUGAGGGCCCCACACUUUUUUAUUUUAUUGCACGAGGCUCGUCGCAUUUUAUUUUAAAAAGGUAAGCCUAAAAGCAACUAUGGUUUUUUUUUGUUGUCUCUUAAAGAAAAGAAAAUGUCCUAAUUAAUUAAUAUUGUUUAAGGAUAUUGCAUUUGGGUUUAGGAGCUCAAUUUAUUCCAAUCCUCCAUCACUUUGAGCCUCAAAGUUAGACCAUUCAUCACAUAAAUCGAAAGCUACCUAUUGCCAGCCUGGGCCCUGGUCCAAACGGACAUGUAAAUUGGAACUAGACCUGGACCAUUCAUGUGGGUUACUGCGACCCCAAGUUUUGACCAAAAUUUAUCAGAACAAAUUUGUUUCAAUCAAUUUUUAAGCUGGAAACGCUAAUUUACACUGACAAUUGAUGAUACGAUGAGCAUGAAUUAAGAGAAAGUAAUCCCAGUAGCAUACACUCAUUUUCAAUUCCAUUUUAAACCAACCUACUGAUUUUAUACCUACAAAAACUUAUCACUAGUAAAUGACUGUAUUGAAAUUCAAAUUAAACACUAACAUUCAAAUCACAAUCGUAAUGCCUGGAUUACUUCUACCUAACUAGUUAUGGAAACUUAAACGACCAAAUGAUACAUUCCACUGGGCCAUUAACCAAGUUAAUAUGAAAGCUGGAGAUCAACCACGGCUAAUUAACUCAAAUCAGAUUAACUGAAGAUGUACAUUCAACACAAAUUUAAUCUAGACGUAUCCAUAAUUGUAUAACCUCAACUGUCUGACAUCUAAAUCUUAACUGAAGAAUGCCAAAUUAAGAAAAAUCCUAGUUAUACAAAUUAUUGCUAAAUAAAUAACAAGCUAAAUCAGUCCAUGACAGUCCCAUACGAGUUUCAAACAGUAGAAAUAGUAACAAUCCGAGUUCUAUACAAUUCACAUUCUCUGAAAUUAGACAAUCACAUAUUCCUAAACUAAACUAAAUCCACAAUUAUUCUCAAUGAGCACAAACUUGAGGCACCACUUUAUUUUAUUUCAAUUGAAGAUUACACCAGCUGUGAGGUCAAACGCAUGUACCUGGAAAUAGAAUUUCAACAGAAGAAUAAGAUGAGGUUCAGCAACAGCAGUGCAACAACAACAGUCCAGGGAAAAAUUCAGCAAAAUAACAGAGACACAUCAACUACAAGUGAUACCAGCAAUAAAAAACAGCCUAACUGGAGUACUUUCGAUCGAAAUAAACCUUUAACUAACACUCAGAACGCAAUACCAAAGUACUACACCAACUUCUUGGCAAAAAUAACUCAGUAAAAACAAAAAAAAAAUCACCCAAAACAGAACAAACAUAUCUUUGAAACUUUGGUAACCAAAAAUUGGCUAAAAACUUGCAAACUAACAGUUGUAAGUUCAAAUUCACCUAAUGCUCAAUGGAACAAUAGUUUUUCAUUUUUGGAUUUUGAAAUUUUCUAUUUUUUGGGUUUUCUAUAGGAAGAAAGUUAGAAUCUAAGAGAAAUUCCUAUCUGAAUUUAAAUUUCACAUUUGGAGAGCUUGAAGAAGGUUUUUUGGGGCAUUCUCCAGAUGAAAAAAAUACCUCUAGUGAAGGCAUAAGAAUGCCUCUUAUAUAGACGUGAGGGGAGGUCAUUUUAGAUUUUGGCCUUGUGUCACGACCCGGAUUUACCCACCAUCUGGAGUCGUGAUGACGCCUACUGUCGAAGCUAGGUCAGCCAACCUUUAUAAUUAUUUUCACAAACUUAAAUCUAAAACAAUUUAAAUACUAAAAUAAUUAACUAAAACAUGCGGAAGUCUUUUAACAAAUAGCGAAAACAAAAAUGCGGAAAUUAACAACAUUUCUCUACCCAGUAUCUGGUGUCACUAUUCACGGAUGACUAAAGGAGUACUACAAGCACAAUACAAGUACAAUCUGAAGGAAAUACAUAAUAUGUCUGUUUGAUACAAUUAAACAAAUUGAAAAGACAAGAUAAGGGAGACUCAGGGCCCGCGAACGCCAGCUAACUACCUCGGAGUCUCUGAACUGAAGGAUCACUCCCGAACUAUAGUUGCUGUCCGUAGGCUGUGUCAUGACCUGUGCACAAAAAGGCACAUAAGCGUAGUAUCAGCACAACCGACCCCAUGUCAUGGUAAGUGCCCGGCCUAACCUCAGCGAGGUAGUGACGAGGCUAAACCGGACCUACCACAACCAACCUAAACACAUAUAUGCAAUAACAUAAAGAGAACAAGAAUUUAAACAAAUAAAAGGGGAAGGGGACAUGCUGGGGGAAUAGCAGUUCAAUUAUAAAUUCAACAAUCAAGAGAUGGAACUGAAUAAAUAAUAAUUAAAGAAGAAAUCCAAUGAAUCAACAACUGCACGGCAUCACCCUUCGUGCUUUUGCUCUCAUUCUUCACCAAAAAGGUCAAAUAUAAUGCACGGCGUCAUCCUUCGUGCUUUUACUCUCAUUUCUCACCAAAAAUAUCAAAUACAUGGCCCGACAUCACACUUCGUGCUUUUACCCUCGAUAAAUAGUGCACGACAUCACCCUUCGUGCUUUUACUCUCAAUAAACAGUGCACGGCAUCACCCUUCGCGCUUUUACUCUCUCUUCCUCUCCCAAUCAAUGGUCAAAACCAAACGGAAAAAAGGAUAUAUAUAUAUAUAUAUAUAUAUAUAUAUAUAUAUCAAGACAAGAUAUCCCGGCAAGGGAGAAUAAUUCAACAAUAGGUCCUGGCAAGGGAAAUACAACUCAACAAUAGGUCCCGGCAAGGGAAUACAACUCAACAAAUGGUCCUGGCAAGGGAAAAAGUAUCAAAAAUGCCUCUUUAGUUCAUUAAAUCCUCAACAUUCACUUCAUAGUUCUGUAACAAGUAAUUAUCACAAUUGUUCCAUUACUUGACAAUUUAAUGGCAAAAUACGACCUCACGGUCAUGCUUGACUCGGGCGCAUAGGUGACCGUCACUAUACCUAUACACUGACCCACAUAGCAUAUAACAAAUAACAUCCCAAUCCUAAUCCCUCGAGCUAAGGUUAGAUCGAACACUUACCUCGACUGCUUCCAACUCAACUCACGCCUCUAGAAUAGUCUUACCCCUCGAAUUUGCUUCAAAACCGGUCGAAUCUAACCACAAUUUACUCAAAUGUAUCAACAAAUGCUAGUAAAAUCAAUUUGCAUGCAAAAUAAUGAAAUUCCCCAAAGUCAUACUCAAAAAUUCCCAAAAUGCCCCCGGGCCCACAUGGUCAAAACCCGAGGUUCGAACCAAAAUCGGGUAACCCAUUCCCCCACGAGUUCAUAUAUGCAAUUUGUUUUGUACCAAAAUUCCUUUUUAGUUCAUUUAAUUCUCAACUUUCACUUCAUAGUUCUUGUAAGAAGCAAUUAUCACAAUUGUUCACUUACUUUGCAAUUUUAAUAGCAAAUAUGACAUCACGAUCAUGCUUGACUCGGGCAAAUAGGUAACCGUCACCAUACCUAUACACCGACCCCACAUAGCACAUAACAAAUAACAAUCUAAUCCUAUUCCCUAAAGCCAAAGUUAGAUCGAACACUUACCUUGAAUCCGAAAAUAGCAACUCAAAGCUCAACGAUCGCCUUUCCUCUUGAAUUCGACCCCGAACUAAUGAUAUCUAACAUGAUCAGGUUCAAUAUUAUCAAUAAGAAUCCAAAAACACAAUCCCAUAACCUAGAAAUGCAUUUCCUAGCUUACUUCCAAAAAUACUAAAAUCCGGCACCGGACCCACGUGGUCCAAACUCGAGGCUCGGACCAAAACCCAUUCCCCCAUAACCCCAUGAGUUCAAAUAUAUAAUUAGAUUUCAAAUUUGACCUCAAAAUGAGGUUGAAAUACCCAAAAUCCCAUAAACCCUAGCUAAACCCAAAACCCCUAAAUUCCACUUUGAUUUCCUGUUUUAAAGCUAGGAAUUUAAUGAUUUGAUGAAGGAAUAGUGGGAAAUAAUGAUAGGAUUACUUACCCAAAGAGUUGUGAUGAAUUGGGGGCUAGAAUUUCGCCAAUGGAAAAGAUAGGAAAAGAGUUUGUGAGAAAAUUUUGAAUAGCCUCGGGCAGAACACUGUUCUGACUUAAAGAAUUCGCUGGGCAAAAAGAAUAUCCUACGUGGUGGCAGGAACAGGGACGCGAUCGCAUGGAGAUGAGGGAUUCUGGCUAAUGCGAUCGCAGGGAUUGAGACGCGUUCGUAUAGAGGAAAACUGGGUCUGACCUGGGUAGGAUGCUAACACUAUGCGAUCGCGAUUCAAGGAGUGCGAUAACACUGAAAUGAAUGGCCAAGCUAUGCAAUCGCAGGCCAGGUUAUGUGAUCGCAUAGAGGAAAUUUCUAAUCACCUGAAGUUGCCCUAUGAGAUCGCGAAUGAAGUAAUGCGAUUGCAGAGAAGGAAACAUCUGUGCAAAAAUUGCAGAAAAUCUGCCAAGUUUUCAAGAACUAAAACACCCCGAACAACCCCUGAAAUCACCCCCGAGCCCUCGGGGCUCCCAACCAAACACACACUAACUCAAUAUCAUCCUACGAACUUGCUCGAGCGAUCAAAUCGCCAAAAUAACAUCAAAAUCACAAAAUCAACCCCCCAACCAAACACACACUAACUCAAUAUCAUCCUACGAACUUGCUCGAGGGAUCAAAUCGCCAAAAUAAUAUCAAAGUCUAAGAAUCAACCUCCAAAACUCAUGAUUUUCAUUUCAAAGUUCAAAACUUUCAAAUUUUUCAUUUUAGUCCGAAACACGUCAAACGACGUCCGUUUCAACCAAACUUUAUAGAUAGCUUUUAACGCCCGUUUAAGACUUGUACCGGGCAUCGAAACCGAAAUACAAGCCCGAUACCACUAUUUUUGCUAAAUUUCCGUUUUCAUUUUUCCUUAAUAUUCAUAAAACAAUUUUAUAGAAAAGCUCUAUACUCGGGCCUGGGAUUUCGGAUUUUAGUUUCGGGAAUAUGCAUGGGUCCCAAAUUUCCUUACGGACCCUCCGAGACCGUCACAUCACAGGUCCGGGUCCGUUUACCCAGAACGUUGAUCAAAGUCAACUAUAGAAAUAUUAGUAUAAAAAUUCAUAGUUUUUAACAGAGAAUUCAAAUAUCUUCACGUAAAAAUUUUCCGGCAUCGCGCCUGGACUGUGCACGUAAAUCGAGGCAAAGCAAUAAGAGCUUUUCAAGGCCUAAGAAGUGCAGGAAAGGGAUAAUUACGGUGAUGACCCUUUGGGUCGUCACAUUCUCCACCUCUAAAACGACCGUUCGUCCUCGAACGGACAUAAAAGAGAAGUACCGGAGUCGGGGAAAAGAUGAGGAUAAAUGUUCCACAUAUCAGACUCGGACUACAAGGUCGAUGCCUCAAGAGGCUGACCUCUCAACAGAACACAAACAAAAAGGAAACUCUUGGAUCUCAACAAUCAGACUCGGACUCCCAGGUCGAUGCCUCAGGAGGCUGACCUCUCCACUUAGCACGCACUGAAGGAAAACUCAGCGACCUCAACUAUCGAACCGGCCGGUCUAAAAUAGCCACCGGCUCCUCCUCAUAUGACAGAUCCUUGUCCAAUUGGACAGUACUGAAAUCUAACCCGUGGGUGGGAUCACGUGAUACUUUUGAAGCAUGGAUACAUGAAAAUUCGGAUGUACGGCUGACAAGCUAGGGCGCAAUGCAAGUCUAUAAGCCACAUUCCCGACACUGUCCAGAAUCUCAAAUGGCCCAAUAUACCUAGGGCUAAGCUUUCCCUUUUUCCCAAACCUCAUCACGCCCUUCAUAGGCGAUACACAGAUUAAUACUCACUCAUUAACCAUGAAAGAAACAUCCCUGACCUUACGAUCUGCAAGACUCUUCUGCCGAGACUGAGCCAACCGAAGUUUGUCAUGAAUGAUCUUGACCUUAUCCAAGGCCUCCUGCACUAAAUCUUUACCCAAUAACCGAGCGUCUCCCGGCUCAAACCAUCCUACUGGGGACCGACACCGCCUACCAUACAACGCCUUAUAAGGAGCCAUCUGAAUACUUGACUGGUAGAUGUUGUUGUAGGCGUACUCUGCUAACGACAAGAACUGGUCCCACGAGCCUCCAAAAUCAAUAACACAGGCUCAGAGCAUAUCCUCAAGAAUUUGAAUAGUCCUCUCGGACUGACCGUCCUUCUGGGGGUGAAAUGCUGUGCUUAACUAGACCUGGGUGCCCAACUCAUGCUGUACUGCUUUACAAAAAUGCGAGGUAAACUGCGGACCCCAAUCCGAAAUAAUAGAUAUGGUCACCCCAUGAAGGCGAACAAUCUCCCGGAUAUAAAUGUCAGCAUACCUCUCGGAUGAAUAGGUGGUGGCAACUGGGAUGAAAUGCGCUGACUUAGUCAGCNNNNNNNNNNNNNNNNNNNNNNNNNNNNNNNNNNNNNNNNNNNNNNNNNNNNNNNNNNNNNNNNNNNNNNNNNNNNNNNNNNNNNNNNNNNNNNNNNNNNNNNNNNNNNNNNNNNNNNNNNNNNNNNNNNNNNNNNNNNNNNNNNNNNNNNNNNNNNNNNNNNNNNNNNNNNNNNNNNNNNNNNNNNNNNNNNNNNNNNNNNNNNNNNAACCCACCAGGCCUCUGAUGCUCGUACUUAACCUGCUGACAAUUUAGACAAUGAGCCACAUAUGCAACAAUGUCUUUCUUCAUUCUACGCCACCACUAAUGCUGUUUUAAAUCCUGAUACAUCUUCGCGACGCCGGGUGAAUAGAAUACCGAGAACUGUGGGCCUCCGCUAAGAUCGACUCUCGAAUACAAUCAAUAUUGGGCACACAGAAUCGCCCCUGCAACCUCAAUUUUCCAUCAUCUCCCAAAGUCAUUUCCUUGGCACUUCCUCUCUGCAUCGUGUCUCUGAACAUCCAACGCAAGUGGUCUCUUGCUGACCGGAAUAUAUGCAAGACUACCCAUGCUGGCGGACUCUCUACUCAAUGCAUCGGCCACCACAUUGGCAUUCCCUGGGUGGUAUAAAAUAGAAACAUCAUAAUCUUUUAACAACUCCAACCACCUCCGCGAUCUCAAAUUCAACUCUUUCUGCUUGAACAAGUACUGAAGGCUCUUGUGAUCCGUGUACACCUCACACGUCACACCAUACAAAUAAUGCCUCCAGAUCUUCAAGGCAUGAAAAAUGGCUGCUAUCUCUAAGUCAUGAACUGGAUAAUUCUUCUCGUGGAUCUUGUACUGCCUCGAAGCAUAUGCUAUGACCUUUCCAUUUUGCAUCAAUACUGCGCCAAGUCCGAUGCGGGAAGCAUCACAAUAUACAGUAUAAGGCCUAGAUCCCGUGAGCAAGAUCAAUACCGAUACCGUAGUCAGAGCUGUCUUGAGCUUCUGGAAGCUCGCCUUGCACUCAUCUGACCACCUGAACUGGGCACCCUUCUGAGUUAAUCUAGUCAUUGGGGUUGCUAUGGAUGAAAACCCCUCCACAAAACGUCUGUAAUAACCGGUUAUCCCCAAGAAGCUUCGAAUCUCUGUAUCUGAAGUUGGUCGAGGCCAGUUCUUGAAUGCCUCUAUCUUUUUCGGGUCCACCUGAAUACCCUCUGCUGAUACGACAUGACCCAAGCAUGGUAUUGAACUCAACCAAAAUUCGCAAUUUGAUAAUUUGGCGUACAACUGGCUAUCCUUCAGAGUCUGAAGAACCACUCUAAGGUGCUGCUCAUGCUCCUCCUGACUGCGGGAGUAUACCAAGAUAUCAUCAAUGAAUAAAAUCACAAAUAAAACCAAAUAAGGCCUGAACACUCGGUUCAUCAACUCCAUGAAUGCUUCCAGGGCAUUGGUCAACCCAAACGACUUGACUAAAAACUCAUAAUGCCCAUUCCGAGUAUGAAAUGCUGUCUUAGGGACAUCAGACGCCCUAAUCCUCAGUUGAUAAUAACCGGACCUCAAAUGUAUCUUUGAGAACACCAUGUCACCCUGGAGCUAGUCAAACAAAUCGUCAAUCCUCGACAGUGGAUACUUGUUCUUUAUCGUGACCUUGUUCAACUGCCGAUAAUCAAUGCACAUCCUCAUCGACCCGUCCUUUUUCUUCACAAAAAACACUGGCGCACCCCAAGGCGAUACACUGGGUCUAAUGAAACUCUUAUCAAGCAAAUCCUCAAGCUUCUCUUUCAACUCUUUCAGCUCUGGAACGGCCAUGCGAUAUGACAGAAUAGAGAUAGGUUGAGUGCCAUGAGCCAAAUCUUUAUCAAGCAAGUCUUGAAGCUGCCCUUUCAACUCUUUCAACUCUGGCGGGGCCAUGUGAUACGGCAGAAUAGAAAUAGGCUGAGUGCCAUGAGUAAGAUCAAAUACGGAAAUCAAUAUCCCUGUCAGGUGGCAUACCCGUGAGGUCUGAAGGAAAAACCUCGUGGAUUCCCGAACAAUAAGAACAAAGUCGAUAAAUGGAACCUCUGCGAUGGAGUCGCGAACAUACGCCAAAUAUACAAACACCCCUUCUCGACCAUACGUCGAGCCUUGACAUACGAAAUACCACUACGGGUGGCAUGAUCUGGGGUCCCUCUCCACUCAACUCGGGGCGAAUCUGGCAAGGCCAAAGUCACAAGUCUUGGCGUGACAAUCCAAGAUAGCAUGAUACGGGAACAACCAGUCCAUCCCCAAUAUAACAUUGAAGUCUACCAUGUAUAGAAGCAAUAAAUCGACACAGGUCUCAAGACCCUCAAAUUCCACUACACAAGAAUGACGCACUCGGUCAACCACUAUAGAAUCACCAACCGGUAUGGACACAUAUACAAGAAUACCUAGAGCCUCACUAGGCAUGAUCAAAUAGGGUGCAAAAUAAUAUGACACAUAAGAAUUAGUAGAUCCCGGAUCAAAUAAUACUGAAGCACCCCUAUCAAAGACCAGUAUAGUACCUGUAAUCACGGCAUCAGAUGACUCGGCCUCUAGCCUGGCUGGCAAUGCAUAACAACGGGGCUGGCCCUACCUACCUGAUUUGCGUCUUUGGGACGAUCUGCUGCGGUCUGACCCCUAUCUCUGGCUGUCCGGGCUCCACCUCUAUGGUCUUUCCAUCCACCUCUAUGAUCCCUACCCCCGCCUCUAGCUGGAUGGCCGGCCGACCCCUAUCUCUGGCUGUCCGGGCUCCACCUCUAUGGUCUUUCCAUCCACCUCUAUGAUCCCUCCCCCCGCCUCUAGCUGGAUGGCCGGCCUGUGGAUCACCUGCAGCCUGAAUUGUUGGGCGAGUACCCUGCUGCUGAGAACUACUCGAGGCUCGAGGGAAAAAUCUGACAACAUGACCCGUGUCACCACAACCAUAACAGGCCCUCGGCGAUUGAGACUGCUAGCCCUGUCGACCGGUAUGCCCUCCUCUGAAGAUCUAAAGUGGUAGUGCACUGAUGGGGGCUGGUGGUGCAUUGGAAGACUGCUGAUCUGUAUAUUACUACUGCUGGCCACCACCGCCUGGCGUACCACAAGAAACCUGAAGUGUCGACUGGAAAGGUCUCGGGGUAUGGCCUCUGUCAUGGAAAUCCCUACCUCCAGAUGAGGUACCGCUAAAUCUGCCAGAAUGUUGAGGCCUCUUGUCUGAACCCUGACUACCUCCUCGAGCCAAUGCCAUCUCUACUCGGCGGGCCGCGUUGGCCGCCUCCUGAUAAGUAAUACCACUGCAAACUCCCACAACCAUCUGUUGGUGAAUGGGCUGAAACAAUCCAUUAAUGAACCUCUGGACCCUCUCCCGAUCUGUAGGGAGUAUCAUUAUUGCAUGGCGAGCCAAAUCAACAAAUCUGGUCUCAUACUGUGUAACUGUCAUGGAGCCCUGCUGAAGGUGCUCAAACUGUCUGCGAAGUGCCUCCCGCUGAGUGACGGGGAGAAACUUCUCCAAAAAUAACUUUGCGAACUAUUCCCAUGUCAAAUAUCGAGACCCUGCUGGUCUAGAUAGACAACAAUCUCUCCACCAAGUCUUGGCGGACCCCACAAGUCUGAAAGUGCAAAAAUUGACCCCAUUGGUCUCUACUAUCCCCAUAGUCCUGAGGAUCUCAUGACAACUGUAUAGAAUGUUCUGGGGAUCCUCCGAUGAAGCACCGAAAGUAGUAGUGGAAAUCUUGGAGAACCGAUCAAGUCUCCACAAAGUAUCCAAAGACAUGGCCGUCCCAUCUCCGGCCUGAGCUAUAGUGCCUGUCUGAGCUGCCACUAUGGGCUGAACCAAGGGAACCUAAGUCUGGGGAGCUACCUGCUCUAGAGUACGUGUAGCAGGAGUCUGAACACCUCCUCCAGCUUGAGAAGUGGCUGGUACUACUGGCAGCAAUCCUGCUCUAGCAACACUGUCCAUAAAGCAUGUUAUGACGACAAGAGCAUCCUGAAGAUCCGAAAAAAAUAUCACUCCUCCUGGGACCUGAGCUGGGCCCACUGGAGCUGGAACCUCCUCAUCAAAGUCAAUAUAGGGCUCCACCUCUGGAAUGAUUGCCUGGGGCUGAGCACUGCCCCUGCCACGGCCUAUGGCACGACCUCGGACCCUGCCUCUCGCGGGAGCUUCUGCCAGGGUCCUGGGCUGCUGCGCGGAAGAAGAAGAAGCACGUGUUCUCGCCAUCUGUGAAAGAACAGAGUAGGACAACAAUCAAUAUUUGAGAAACCGAAUCGCACGACAAGAAUGAACAAAGUGAAACUUUUCCCAACUCUGUAGCCUCUGAGGGAUAAAUACAGACGUCUCCGUACCAAUCCCUCAGAUUCUACCAAGCUUGUCCAUGAGUUGUGAGACCCAAGUAACCUAGUUCUCUGAUACCAACUUGUCACGACCCGAAUUUACCCACAAUAGAGAGUCGUGAUGGCGCCUACUGUCGAAGCUAGGCAAGCCAACCUUUAUAAUCAUUUUCACAAACUUAAAUCUUAAACAAAUUAAAUACUAAAGUAAUUAACUAAAACAUGCAGAAGUCUUUUAACAACAAUAGCGAAAACAAAAAUGCGGAAAUUAAAAACAUGUCUCUACCCAGUAUCUGGUGUCACUACUCACGGAUGACUAAAGGAGUACUACAAGAACAGUCUGAAGGAAAUACAUAAUAUGUCUGUUUAAUACAAUUAAACAAACUGAAAAGACAACAUAAGGGAGGUUCAGGGUCCGCGAAUGCCAGCGAACUACCUCAGAGUCUCUGGACUGAAGGAUCAUUCCCGAACUAUAGUUGCAGUCCGUAGGCUGUGUCCUGACAUGUGCACAAAAAGGCACAGAAGCGUAGUAUCAGCACAACCGUAAAGCUGCGGUCCGUAGACUGGGUCCUGGACUGUGCACAAAAAGGCACUGAAGCGUAGUAUCAGCACAGCUGACCCCAUGUGCUGGUAAGUACCCGGCCUAACCUCGGCGAGGUAGUGACGAGGCUAAACCGGACCUACCACAACCAACCUGUACAAAUAUAUGCAAUAACAUAAAGAGAACAAGAAUUUAAACUAAUAAAAGGGGAAUGAGACAUGCUGGGGGAGUAGCAGUUCAAUUAUAACUUCUACAAUGAAGAGAUGGAACUGAAUAAAUAAUAAUUGAAGAAGAAAGCCAAUGAAUCAAAAACUGCACGGCAUCACCCUUCGUGCUUUUACUUUCAUUCCUCACCAAAAAGGUCAAAUAUAAUGCACGGCAUCACCCUUCGUGCUUUUACUCUCAUUUCUCACCAAAAUAUCAAAUACAAGGCAUGACAUUACCCUUCGUUCCUGGAUAGGUUACAACAGACAGAUAGGAGAAUGGGAAUCAGAACUGCAGUGGGUGAACAAGAAGGCAAGGAGUAAAAUGGGGAUAAACUCAAUAACAGCAGUAGCCUUCGUAACCACUGUUGCAUUGAUAUGGAGGGAAAGAAAUAAUAUCAGAUUUGACCAGAAGGCGUAUGAGGAAACCCAGAUAUGCAGGGAAAUCGCUUUGCAUAUUCAUAUUCGAGGAAGGGGUUGUCAUCGGUGGAAAAUGACUUUGGGACAGCUUAAUAGAAAUCCGUAGCGUAUGCAUCACCUAUUUACUGUUUCUUGAUUGUAAUUGGUAAAGUAGAUAGCACAUUGAACAGAAAAUGAUUGGAAAAGUCAAGGACCAGUAGCUAGUCGAAAGCUACUGGCUAAAUCUCUACAAUAUAUAUCUGUAUUGAUAAUGUUAAUGGAAUAUAAAUUUAUACCAUAAAAAAAACAGUGCAUGGAUUCAUCCUUCGUGCUUUUACUCUCAAUAAAAAGUGCACGGCAUCACCCUUCGUUCUUUUGCUCUCUCUUCCUCUCCCAAUCAAUGGUCACAACUAAACAGGAAAAAGGAAAUAUAUAUGUAUCAAGACAAGAUAUCCCGGCAAGGGAGAAUAAUUCAACAAUAGGUCCCGGCAAGGGAAAUACAACUCAACAAUAGGUCCCGGCAAGGAAAUACAACUCAACAAAUGGUCCCGACAAGGGAAAAGUACCAAAAAUUCCUCUUUAGUUCAUUUAAUUCUCAACUUUUACUUCAUAGUUCUUGUAACAAGUAAUUAUCACAAUUGUUCACUUACUUCUAAGUUUUAAUAGCCAAUAUAACAUCACGGUCAUGCUUGUAUCGGGCGCAUGGGUAACCAUCACUAUACCUAUACACCGAUCCCAAAUAGCACAUAACAAAUAACAACCUAAUCCUAUUCCUUCAAGUUAAAGUUAGAUCGAACACUUACCUCAAAUCCGAAAAAAGCAACUCAAAGCUCAACGAUCGCCUUUCCUCCAAAAUUCGACCCCGAACCAACGAUAUCUAACAUAAUCAUGUUCAAUAUUAUCAAUAAGAAUCCAAAAACACAAUCCCAUAGCCUAGAAAUGCAUUUCCUAGCUUACUUCCAAAAAUACUAAAAUCUAGCACCGGGCCCACGUGGUCCAAACUCGAGGCUCGGACCAAAACCCAUUCCCCCAUAACCCCACGAGUUCAAAUAUAAAAUUAGAUUUCAAAUUUGACCUCAAAUUGAGGUUGAAAUACCCAAAAUCCCAUAAACCCUAGCUAAUCCCAAAACCCCUAAAUUCUACUUUGAUUUCAUAUUUUAGAGCUAGGAAUUUAAUGAUUUGAUGAAGGAAUAGUGGGAAAAUAAUAUUAGGAUUACUUACCCAUAGAGUUUUGAUGAAUUGGGGGCUAGAAUUUUGCCAAUGGAGAAAUUAGGAAGAGAGUUUGUGAGAAAAUUUUGAAUAGCCUCGGGCAGAACACUGUUCUGACUUAAAGAAUUCGCUGGGAAAAAAGAAUAUCCUACGCGGUCGCAGGAACAGGGACGUGAUCGCAUGGAGAUGAGGGAUUCUGGCUAAUGCGAUCGCAGGGAUUGAGACGUGUUCGCAUAGAGGAAAACUAGGUCUGGCCUGGGUGGGAUGCUAGCACUACGCGAUCGCGAUUCAAGGAGUGUGAUCGCACUGAAAUGAAUGGCCAAGCUAUGCGAUCGCAGGCCAGGUUAUGCGAUCGCAUAGAGGAAAUUUAUAAUCACCUGAAGCUUCCCUAUGCGAUCGCGAAUGAAGUGAUGCGAUCGCAGAGAAGGAAAUAUCUGUGCAAAAAAUGCUGAAAAUCUGCCAAGUUUUCAAGAACUAAAACACCCCGAACCACCCUUGAAAUGACCCCCAAGCCCUCUGGGCUCCCAAACAAACAUACACACUAACUCAAUAUCAUCCUACGAACUUGCUCGGGCCAUCAAAUCGCCAAAAUAACAUCAAAAUCUAAGAAUCAACCUCCAAAACUCAUGAUUUUCAUUUCAAAGUUCAAAACUUUAAAAUUUUCCAUUUUUAGUUCGAAACACGUCAAACGACGUCUGUUUUUAACCAAACUUUACAUAUAGCGCUUAACGCCCAUUUAAGACUUGUACCGGGUGUCGGAACCGAAAUACGAGCCCGAUACCAUUAUUUUUGAUAAAUAUCUAUUUUCAUUUUUCCUUAUGCAUAUUCAUAAACAAAUUUCACAAAAAAGCUUCGUACUCGGGUUUGGACCUCAGAUUUCGAUUCUGGGAACACGCCCGGGUCCCAAAUUUCCUUAUGGACCCUCUGGGACCGUCACAUUAUGGGUCUGUUUCCGUUUAUAGAAAACAUUGACCAAAGCCAACUAUACCAAUAUUAGUAUCAAAAUUCAUAGCUUUUAACAAAGAAUUCAAAUAUCUUCACAUAAAAAAUUUCUGGCCUUGCACCCGGAUUGCAUACACAAAUCGAGUAUACCCAAUAAGAGGUUUUUAAGGCCUCAGAAGCGCAAGAAAAGGUAGAAUUACGGUGAUGACCCUUUGGGUCGUCACACCUUGCACUCUAGUCCCUAUAUUAUUUUCAAUUUAGUCACCCUAUUUUAACUUGUCACAUAGGUAACUACUAUUAUUCUUUGCAAAUUUUCUAAAAGCCCCUAUCUAGAAGCUCCUAGGGGGGUUCCACAUAAUUCUUGUAACAACCAAUUACUCAUAACGCCCUUGAAUUCUUUCAAAAUUACUAAACUAGUUUAGCCAGCUAUAUGCAAUCCUCCUAGAGCUAAUUAUCUUGCCUAUGAUCCUUGAUCAUUAAAUAAACUUAAUCAAACCUAAAAAAUACGAAUUCAAUUAGAUGAGAACCAAAUAGUUUCGAAAUGGAUUUGAACUAAACGAAAUCUACCAAGAAAGAUCAAAUUACAAGAAGGAACUUCAACUAAACUAAUCGAUUUAACAAAUACCUAACAAUUAAACAAUCAGACGAGGAAUCAGAAUUAAUCUAAUAAGUAAAUUAAUAGAAUGAGAAAAACUAAUCCGAAAAUUUGAACUACCUAAAUCUAGAAUUCAAACCAAAGUGGAAGCAACAUUAUACAAUUGUCACAGACCUCACCCAUACAGAAAAAAAGAAAGAAAGAAAUAGAAAAGAAAACUCACUCCCAUUGCCGUAACAUUUCUCUUUUUUCUUUUUUUUUAAAAAAAUAAUCCAAUAACUUUUUGCGAUGACUGACCCUUGCCUCUGAUGGAUUCUUCACGAGGAGGAUGAGGAAACCGUGUAAUACCAGUUUGGUAGUCUUUCGAGAAUUUAUGUUUUCCAGCCAAUUUUGAAUUACAGUUCGAGCCAUUUAAUUGAUAUUUGAGGACAAAUGAUUGUGGAUUUGGGUUAAGGGAGUUGAGGAGACUCUGUGGUGUAAUUUUGAGCCGUUUUGGACAAGAUUGUGUUUUGGCAGGAAAAUUUAGAUCAAAUAUUCGACGAAAUUGGCAAUGAUUUGAAGGAAUACAUUGUGGGGCUUGGAAAUGGGAGUUCUUGGGGAGUCUGUGGUGUAAAUUUGGGAGUGAACGUCGGUGGGGGAGUCCACCGCCACCGUCGAUGGUGGUUCCGGCGACGUUACAAGAGUGUACGAGGAAGGAGAGUUAUGUUUUAGGGUGUGAAGGAUUUUUCGGACAUUAUUAUGUUAAUGGGGAGAGGGUUCUUGUCUGUUGGAUUGGGGAAGAUCAAGGGCUGGGAUCGUGUGACACCAAAUGGCAUCGUGGUGAUGGUGAGGGUGGACCGGGUGGGACGUUUUGGGCAGGGGUCUUUGGGCUGGAAUUAUUUUUGUUUUGGGCUAGUAUUUAUUAAUUGAUACAGCCUAAUUCAUGGUUUUAACAAGGCAGCCUUUUCUUUUCAUUUUCUCUCUCACGUCGUGGUCGAAAUUGAGAAGGCAGUAGGAUCCGGGGCCAAUCCGGGGCCAGUUGGCGAAAUUGAUUUCACUUUUGGUUCGUCUAUAUCUUUCACUAAUUGCACUCUUAAUUUAAUGCCGUUUUAAAUUCAGUACCUCCUUUGAAAUAUAUUUUUUUGCUUGGGUGUUAGCUUAACUUUGAUUAGUUUAGGUCUUAGUUGAAUUUUUUCUUAGUUAUUGUGGCUUUUAGGUUUAUCCACUAGUUUGUUUUUGUGUUUCGACUCAGUAAUCGUUCAAGAAAUUGGUGCCUAUUAGUAGUUUUGAUUUUUUUUUCUGUUUUGGUUACGUCAAUAUUGGUCUAACUUCGAUUAGUUCAAAUUGAUUAAGUGGAAUGUCUAUGUGUUUCCCUUUUAGAUUUUAAGUCUCGUAUUGUUCUUCAUCUUCAUGCCGAUUCUUUUUGAUUCUGUGAUAGUUAAUCGAUUUGAUCGUUUAGUGUAAUUAGUAUGAAUUGGUAUUGAGUUGUAAUUAGGCUUAGGAUUUGGUUAUAGCUGAUUAAUAUAUUGAUAGAUACCUUAAGUUAAUUGGUUGACUGGGAGUGAAUGGUUGGAUCUGGUUGGUAAUUUCAGGGUCUUUAAAGGGCAGUCUGGGGAAUUCAAUUCAGGGAAUCUCUUUAUAACUGAUUUUAGAGGCUUUUCGCAGGGGUUUCUAGGGAAUUAUUAGAUUAGCUCGGGCAUCAAGUCAAAAACCGGAAACAAAAGAGGGAUAGCUAAGCAAAAAUAAAAAUUGAAAAAAAGGACUAAUCUGAAAUAAAACAGGGACUGAAGUGAAAAUAAAAAUUUUAGGGUUGCCCCUUACUUUGCCUAUAAAAACGGCAUUCCCAUGCCUUCACACUCAAGUUUGGAGCCUCCCAAGAAUUCCCCCAUUUCUCUACAAAGUUUCAGAUCUGAAACUUGAGAUCCGAACUCCAAAAUCUUCAAAAAUCAAAAAAAAAAAAAAUAGUAGCAAUUUCUAGAAAAACCAAAAAAAUAAAAAAUCCAGUAGCAAACCAAAAAAGAAUUACUGUUUCCUUUGGCUAAUUGCAAGUUUUAGUGACUGAUAAGCAUUUUCUAGCUCAGUCUCUGUUAAUUGAAGUUUUAGGGUGGUUUACUGGGUUGUUUUUAAGCAGUUCUGGUGGUUAUUCUACAUGAAUUGAUUGUCAAGUGGAGUUUCUUAUUUGCUUUGGUUAGGGAAGUUUUGAAGUAUUUCUACUUUAAUUUCGAGCACCUUUGGGUCAGUUGUGGAGUGUUGUAGUUUUGUGACAUACUACUGUGAUGAUUUCUGGGUUUAUGAGUUAAGCUUGGCUCAAUUGGUCCUGAUUACUGAUGUUGUGACCUGUGGUUGGCACUGUUAUGUGGCUGACCUCCUCUUCUUCUACUUGUACUUCGAUUUCCAGGUACACAGUUGUAACACAAGCUGAUGUAAUUAUGAAUUAAGGAGCUGCAAUAAAAUGCUAGUUUGAGACUUAGGCAUCCAAAUUGCCAUAGUAGAGUAGACAUUAUACAAUUUAUGUUUGUUAGUUGUGCUGCCUUUUGAAUUUGUAUAUGAUUUGUAUAACUGGACUGUAUUAGGUUUAUUGGAACUAUCACGCUAAUCAAUUGAUACUAGUCGUCAAUGAGUUCAGGGAUUUUGCGUUUUUCACAACCGUUUGUACUGAUAAAUUCAGAAUAAUCAUCUAUAGAUAACUUAGUUUGAAUGUUGAGCUAUCCUCAAUAGUUUAAUUUUGUUGUAGAGGUGAUUAAUUAAUAAAGUUAGAGGGACAACCUAAAACAAAUUGAGAAUCAGUCAUGUAAUUACAGUUGCUCAUUUAUGUAUUAAGUGUUGGGAGGUUAAUUAGAGUAAUGACUGAGAUGUUAUUUUCAUUGUGUUGCUCAUUUAAGUAUUAAGUGUUGGGAGGUUAAUUAGAGUAAUGAUUGAGAUUUUAUUGUCAUUGUUAAAUUGAAAUCUGGUUCCAAUUGAUUUUCAGUUGCCAUUUCUUUUAAGAGAUUCACUAAUAGGUAAGUAAAGAUGAUGGUUUACACAUAUGAUUAGAAUUUGCUGGGGAGAAGAACCUAGAAUGUUUUGAUCAGGGUUCACAAUUCGAGCUUAGAUGAAUUGUUGUAUUUGGUUAUAUCUAAUUUUUUUACAUGAUGUGUGUGCUAAAUAUUACCGCUUUGAUAUUAUCUUAACUGUAUAUAAACUGUGACGACACCCUUCUCUCUUAACCUCCGGGGAUGUGCUUACUGGUUGAGACUCCAUAUUCUGUUAGUGUCAUACCCUGAAAUAAGAAAGAGGCUCGGACAAGCUACGAUACCGGAUGGCCUUUUGGUUCCCGGUAAGUUGCCCCCUCAUUGACUAGAGUUGCCCGCUCGGGUACACAAUCUAGAACACCGAUCCAGGUUUUGAAUAUAGAAUAACUUGACUUCAUGUCGGAUCCCUCGUAGGAACGCUUAUUUGCAUCACGUUGCAUUUGAUUUAGGGGACUCAACACAGGGGUUGGGUCUGUCUAGGGCUAGCAACCUGAAAUGAAAAAGACCAUACUGAUGCAUCCUACUUGCUAUGUACAUAUAUGUGUUUCGAUCUGCAUGUUGACCGGUUUCUAAAUCUCGGAAAUGACGGAAAAUUGAGAAAAAGAGAAAAGAGAAAGAAAGAAAUAGCGGUUUGGGAAUUAAUUGAUUACUUUAGAAAAACCAACACCCCAGUACUGCCGAAACUCUGUUGAAAUUUGAGAAAAAUAAAAAAAAAGAAGGAAAAUGUUUUAUUUCGUUAUACUAAAGAGUAAAGGAAAAAUAGAAAAAAGAGUCUUUUAUUUUUGGGAAGGUGUUUGCUGAAAAAGAAAAUAAAAAAGUGUCUUUAUUUUAAUUUGAAAAAAAUAGGUUGAUUUAUUGUUUGCUGAUAAUGAAAAACAAUAAGAGUUGUUAUUCUGUCUUGUUUUCAAAAAAUAGAAAAUGAAAAAUAGUUUGUCAUGAGAAAAGGAAAAAAAAUCUUGAUUUUAGUUCUUAUUAUUUUAAAAUAGUUUAUUUGCCAAUGGAAAAAUAGGGUGUUUUAUCGAAAAAGAAAAAGAGUCUUUAUUUUUCGGAAAAUAGGUUCUGUUACUAAAAAAUGAAUAAAAAGAGUUUUUAGUUUUUAAUUGGGAAAAUAGAUUGUUUGUUGAAAAUGAAAAAAUCAUUACUUUGUCUUGUUUUCAAAAUAGAAAAUGAGAAAUAGUUUGUUUUACCCUGAAAAAUGAAAAGAAAAAAAAGAGAGUCUUGAUUUUUAUUUCAAAUAGUUUAUUAUUUGAUGAAAAAGAAGGAAAAAGAAGAGCCUUUUAUUUUUAGUUUGGAAAAAUAAGUUAUCUUAUUGGGAAAAAAAAAGAAAGAGUCUUUUAUUUUAAUUUGGAAAAUAGGUUGUUGGAAAAAUAUGCUGUUUUAUUGUUGAAAAAGAAGAAAAAGAAAAGAGUCCUGUAUUAAAAGUAGUUUUUUUAUUUUAUUAUUUGCUUAUGAAAUGCCAAAAGAGAAAAUGAAAAAAAAGUCAUGUUUUAAAUGGUUCGGUUAAUCUGCCCGAACUACACAUGGUUUGAUUCUCACCGGAUGUGAGAUACGUAGGCAAACCUCAUCGGGUCCAACUUCCCCUUUACAAAAAUAGCCAAAAAAGUCAAAAUUUUAAUUUUUUGUCAUAAAUAAUCUAGGUGAUGUCGUUUUUGUCAAAAAUAGCCAAAUGUUCCCAAACGGGACGCCAGAAGGCUGACUUUGCAUAAAUAAUCACCCUUGGUCAUGUUUUGGUUUUAACCCUCACAGCCUUAAAUUUUCGUCCUCGAGGCAUUAAAAGGCCAUCUUUUCAAUACAGAGUAUUUUAUUUUGAAAAGAAAAAUAAAGAGAGUCGUAAAGAAGUCGAGUAAUGCCGUUUUGUUAUAAAUUGUCGAAUGUUCCCGAAAGAGACGACGAAAGGUUGACUUUGCAAAAAUGGCCAAUUUUGAUUUUUUGACCGAUUAGCUAAUGCAACCUUAAAAUCUUCGCCCUCGAGGUGCUGAAAGACCGUCUUCGCAAAACUAGGUCUUUUAUUUUAAAUAUGAAAAACAAGAAAAAGAGUCAGUGGUCAAGUGAAUACCAUUUGAUUUUUGGUCAAAAUAAUCCGGCACAGCCUCAAAAUUCAUGUAAAAUUGGGAAUGGCCCAUGUUUGCAAAACAGCCACUUUGUUGAAAUUGGCAAGUAGGGGAAGGAAUUUGUUAGUUUUGUUUUAUCAUGAAAAUGGAAAAUUUCAAAAAAUAUUUUAUUAUCGUUUAUCUUUUACUUUCACGAACUACGCCUGGUCUGAUUCAUGCAGGGUCAUGAUAAGUAGUCAAUCUCCAUAAGAUUCGACCACAACCAAGACCAAAACAAAAAAUUAAAAUGGAAAAGAAAGUUUGGAAAAAUGGAAAAAGAUGUUGUGAAUAAUGAGGACCGACCCAAUCCAUUCUAAUAUGUUUUAUUUUAAAUUGUGAAGAAAGUUGAGGUGGUUGGUUGUGGUAAGCUGGAAACACAAAAUCUGAGGAAAAAUGAUAACUGACAUCGAAGCAGUUACAAGUGCUCAAGAGACUCAGGGUCAGAGGGUUCAACUAGAGUUUACGGGCUUCGAGGAAAAUAGAAUGUCGAAACAAAAAAAAGAUUGAAAUACAUCAAUCAUGGGCCAACAGUCAAGGAAAGCCUCGUCAUGAGUCACAUCUUGCUACACAGCAAGAGCACCGCUCGUGCUCAUUCAAUCUUCCUGCAAACAUUGAGAUUCCUGCACGAACGAGAGUACAGAAAAAAAUAGCCCAAGGAAUGAAAAGAUUAGAAAACAGCUGAAAAACACGCAAGCAAUGGCAGGUCAGAAGAGUGUUGCCUUCAUGGAUCUAUGCAUGUUCCCCGAUGUCCACUUGCCGCCUGGUUUCAAGGUUCCCAAAUUAAAAAAGUACAAUGGAUAUUGAGACCCUAUAGCCCACCUGAAAAGGUAUUGCAACAAAUUGAGAGGUGUAGGAGAAAAUGAACAAUUGCUUAUAGAUUAUUUUGGAAAAAGCCUCUCAGGAGUAGCAUCUGAAUUGUUUUUGGAUAAAGACACAUCUUGCUAGUACGCCUGGGAUGACAUGGCACGGGCCUUUGUCAAAUAGUUUCAAUACAACAUCGACAUCGCCCCAGACCGCAUUUCCAUUUCUAACUUGAAAAAGAAACCAACUAAAAGUUUCAGGGAAUAUGCCAUCAAAUGGGGAGAGCAGACAGCUAGAGUUAAGCCACCCAUGGAUGACCACAAGUUAAUCACUGUCUUUCUACAGGCUCAAGAGCCAGAUUAUUUUCAAUACAUGACGACCGCAUUGGGUAAAUCCUUCCCAUAUGCAAUCAAAAUGGGGGAAAUGGUGGAGAACGGUCUUAAAGACAGUCAAAAUUAUUAGUCAAACAACUCUCAAAGCUGCAGCUCAGGUUGUCCAAUUUGAAUCUAGUGACGCGAAUGGGAGGGAUGAUGAAAUCAUAUAUGAUAUCAGAGUCAAGAAGAGGUCCUGGGAGAACACCUCGGAAGUGUGUACAACCUCAUUAGUAUUACUAUUCACCUCAGAACCCACCAUACUCUGUCGAUCCGCCCCGGUAUGUUGGCCAGCCAUCAAAUCCCCCAAGAAAGCGAGCACGAACUUCAUGAAAUCUCCACCCGCCUCCGCAAAAUUUUCAAGUACCUUAUAAACCACAUCCAAGCCAGGGGUGUAGAAGGGAACAAAAGCUGAAAGAUAAUUUUACACCAAUUGGAGAGUCAUAUGCAUGCUUAUUUGAGAAGUUGAAACAACAUGACAUGAUUGCACCCAUUCCUCCAAAUCAGGUGGACCAAAUUACCCAGAAAGCGAGCAUGAACAUCACGAAAUCUCCACCAGCCUCCGCAAAAUUUUUACGUACCUUAUAACCCACAUCCAAGCCAGGGGGAUAGAAGGGAACAAAAGUUGAAAGAUAGUUUUACACCAAUAGGGGAGUCCUAUGCAAGCUUAUUUGAGAAGUUAAAACAACAUGACAUGAUUGCACCUAUUCCUCCAAAUCAGGUGGACCGACGUGCGAGAAGCUUUGAAUCAUCUAAAAGGUGUGAAUACCACUCCAAUGCUCUGGGGCACAAUGUGGAAAAUUGUCGGGAUUUGAAAAGGGAAAUAGAAAGGAUGAUUCAAGGAAAUUUGAUUCAAAAUAGUGGCACCCAGAAUAUCACGCUGCAUUCUUUACAUGGAAAGAUACACUUGGUGGGAAUGAUGCCCGGAGACAUAGGGUGUGAGAAUCCUUUUGGGAACAUGUGGAAUGAAGUUGAAGACGCUGAAACAAAUAGUGGUCAUGGCAAUAUAGAUGUGAAUCUUAGUGGCUAAAAAUGUCGUGCUUGACAAUUAUGAAGAUGCUCUUUUCUGGGUCAGCCAGGGAGGAGUCUUGGUGGUCCAUUUUGUUGUCAUUUCUGUUGUCCGGGUUGUUUGCAGGGUUGUAAUCCGGAUAUUGUCUUGUGAUCAAACCCUUUUAUCAUUUAAUUUUGUCUAGUUGGUUUAGUCGUGAUGAUUUAUUUAGUGUUGUCUAGGUUUGUUUUAUUUUCAUUCUAGGGUUAUACUCCAGUCAGUUUGUUUGUUUUGUUGUUAGAACUGUUUCAUGCAAAUCCUGAUCUUCUGUUAUUCCCAGUCAUUUUUGUUUAAGUUCUUUUCUAUCCUUUUGUUUUGUCUAUUGCUGGUUCUAGUGACAUGACAUGCACGCAAUUCUUAGCCUGAUCUUUAAGGGCUACAUUAGUUGGGAAACAAUGAAACCAUUUUGAAACAAUAGGGGCACUUGAGGAAAUAAUAACAGAUUUGGACGUUUUGAGAUUGUUUGACGCCUGAACCUUGUGAAACUCGGGUAGAUAGAAUAACCUUGAAGACAGUUGGCCAAAUUGACAGAGGACCGGUCGUGGUAAUAAGAGUAAGAGUGUUUCCAAAUGGUGCAUCAUAUUUGACAGAUGUAGCAGGAAAAUGUGUGAAAAUGGCCGUCAAUUAUGAUGCGGUCAAGAGAUACUGUGUAUCGAAACAUUUUUAGAGGGUUGAAAUGACGAAGGCGUUUUGUUAUGCUAUCCAAACACUUUUUCCAUUGCCACCUUUUUUUGAGCCAUUUUUAUUUUCUUUCAUACCCAUCUUUUGGAAUCAACGACACAAUCAAAGAAACGAAUGCCGAAAAUAAACAAAUGGAAAAGAAGGGAAAAGAAAAGGAAAGAAAGGGAAAAGAAGAAGAGAAGAAGAAGAGAAAACGAAAAAGAUAAAAAAAGAGGGAAAGGAAAAAAAGAAGAAGAGAAAAGAAAUAAUGAAUAACCUAAAAAAGAAACCAACUGAAAGUUUCAGGGGGAAAAAGAUAAAAAAAAGGGAAGGGAAAGGAAAAUAAAAAAAAAAGAAAGAAAGAGGAGAAGAGAAAAGAAUAGAAAAGAAAAAAUGAAGAAAAGAAAGGAAAAAACAAGAAAGCAGAAAGAAAAGAAGAGAAAGAAAAUCACAACAACAUAGUUUCUAUAACAUGAACUACGUUUGACUUGAUCCCGAAGGGUACGUAGGCGGGCUCGCUGUGGUUCAGUCAUACCAAAAUAAAAUUACAAAAGUCCCCAAGCAAGAAACUGUGGCAGAAGUUGUGAUUGUUGAAAGAAGUCGGAUUCCAAAAGUUGUAGUUUUAACCCAUGUUGAAAUUGUUUUGAGCCUUUUAUACAUUUCUUUCUAACCAUAUCCAAAAUCCCACAUUACAGUCCAAAGAAAGACCUCCCAAUCAGUCUUUGAGAAAUGUCAAGUCAAGCAGGUAAAUGUAAUUCAUGUCAAGGGCAUCAUUCUAGUCCAAGAAAGAAAAUAGAGAGCAGGAUUAUGAAAACCUUCACGGGUACCACAAGGCGACGAAAGCUGAGAAAAAGAAAAAUGAGAGAGUCUUAUUGGUGAAAACCUUCACAAGCAAUAAGUGGAGAGAAAGAACAAAUGAGAGAGAUUUGAUGGUGAGAACUCUUCGGGCGCCACAAGUCGAAUAAGGAAAGCGAAUCAAAUAAGUGGAGCAUUGAAGCCCAUUUCACGGAGAAAAGAUACAACAAGAGCUGAACAUCAAGUUUGAUUGACAUAAUACCUACAUGUGCAUGUCAUAGUCGUUGGAGUUCAUAUCCACAUUUGAUAGGUUACUACUUAGUAGUGUCUUCUUUAGGAAUCAUCUCUUGACUUUUUCUUUCACUUCGUUCUUCUGUUUUAUUCACUUCCUCUUUCUGAGUCUAUUCAAUCGUAACAAGCGAGAAAUGACUUUAAUAUUUUCCACUAGCUUUCUAAUUGCACAAAAUGGGGUUUAGAGCUAAGUAAAACAAAAAGAUAAAGGGUAAUACAUCAACACGCAUUGGGGGAUCAUGUGAAGCACAAAGUUUGGUAGAUAUCGGUUCGGGAGUAAUGCAACAAAUGGUGGUAUUUGGUUUGAACGAAGAAUAGAUACUUUUUGUGAUAAGGGUCAAGCGAAUGAGUAAUAGACUUCAGGGUCAAGGGGCUAGGGAUUGUGAUUUAAGAAGCAAUAACAUACUGUGUGGGUAAUAGGUGCAAUUUGGGAAUUCAUGUAAGACUCAAAGGUCAAGAAAAUACCAAUUCAUGGGCGGUAUAACGAACAGAAGAUAUAGGGCUUGAAUGCAGAAAAUAUAUGUUUGGUAACACAGAUAACUGAGAAACUUGUUAAUUAGUAAACAUGCAAGAUCUUCAAGAAGAAUCAGGUGUCAUAGAAAACAUAUAGGGUCAGAUAAGAAGGUUAGAAGUAAUAAUCGAGAGGUAAUCAUCAAGAAGGUCGGAAG
rnacentral:lncRNA from 1 species